UUUUUAUUUUUCUCCAGGACUAAGGAGGGUAAGACUUGGGUGCAAAACGGUGGCAAACUUUCGGGGAACUUCCUUUGAUUCGAACAAAUUGAGACUGAUAUAUGCAGCUCCUAUCAGCAGUCCGUCCUUCGACACAGUCAUAGCCAAUCAGCGACCACUGCUUACAGAAGCAUGUUCUCAUUGGCUGAGGGAUGUCAGCGGGCGGGACGCUGAGCGCUGAAAGCGGGCCGCCGUCAGUAACCCGGACCGAGUGAAGCCCGGGAGGGGCCGGAGAUUGGGAGCUGCAGCUCGGGUUUCGGCUGCAAUACCCGCCGUGUCUUGAUCCUUUUGAAGGUUGAACUGAAGAGACCGGCGGAGAUUCCGUGAGAUGUUUCAGCUACACGGAGGGCGCCCGGCCUUUCCCCGCCGAGGAUCGGGGCCUGUUGUCUGGAGCUGUCUCCCAGACCCGUCCCGUCCUGCUGGGAGACGGGAGCUGCCCCGCAGCGGCUGCCGGUGGAUCUCCGGAGCUCUCACCGCUCCCCUGUGCAAUCCGAACGGCUGAAACCCAAGGGAGAACAAGAAGGAUUUACAAAAGGAAUCAAUGGAUGAAGGACCGAAUUUCCAGAAGUGUAAUGUCACGAACAUUGGUAGAAGAAAUAAAAGUGUAGACUAUUUACUAACUGGAGAGAAAUUUCAAAAAUGUCAGAGAUUUCUGAAUCCUCAUGCAGGUUGAGUUGGUGGUGAGCAAGGCUGAUUAGCAUUCAUUUCCAGACGAUGAAAACAUAAAACGAGGACUCAUUGCUGAUGCUUUACAAAGAACUGGCAAGGCCUCACUUGCAAUACUGGGAGCUGCUUUUAGCCCCAUAUUUAAGAAAGAAUGCACUGAUGUUGAAAAGGCCUCAGAGCUGCUCACAGAAAUGAUCCCGGGAAUGAAAAUCUUGUCAUUCGAUGGCUCUGGGCCUCUGCUCACUGGAAUUCAGAAGAAUGAGGCGGACCUCAUUGAAAACCUAUCAAGUAUUGAAAGGUCUCGAUAGAAUGGAUGUGCAGAGGACGUUUCCUGUGGUGGGCGAGUCAGAAACUUGAUGAACCAAAUGGCCUAAUUCUGCCCUUUUAUCUGAUGGUUGUAUUUAAGAUGAGGUAGUAUUAGUCUCUCUCUUAAGCACUGACAACACACGGUUACAGUGAGAUUCAGCCUAACUUGAGAGAAGAAGUCACCCUCUAACUGGGCUCACUGGCACAGUGCCAGCAACAGGACUGAUCAUCAGUCUUCCUCUCUGUCCAAAAAUGCCCGUCUACAGGUUUGACCCUCUCCAUUGGUUUUAUUCACUGUUCUCUCUAAGCUGCAUGUGUCUGACUGCACAAUAACUGAAAAGCUCCCAGACAGAUCGCAUUUGGUGCUGCACUGAUAGAAUUUUCUUUCACAUAAUGUUAAUUGAAAGUGUCCUGCAGCUUUCAUGCUGUGUAAAAAAUAAAUAAAUAAAUAAAUAAAUUCCUGCUCAGACCAAUGGCUACUCCAACAGCGCUACAAAGAGCCCGUGAUAUUACCUGAGACUUUCCAAUUACUCUGACCCAUUGACACUGGUGAACCCAUCGAUGACAGUGCCAAUGAAUAUGAAGGGGAGGGCAGUAGCUUUUCCCAGUGCUGGAUCACAUUUUGAUAUGUGAAAUCUACAGGACAUUUGUUACCCAGAACAAAGGUGUCUGAUAUCAUUGUGUACUCAGUGAGAAUAGUACAAAACAUGUUCUCAAGGGUAGAAAGUUCUGGAACAAGAGGAGGUAGAACUAAAGUUGAUGGAAGGAUUUUAUGUUUUCUUUCAUACAGCACAAAUUGGCAUUUUCACUGACUGGAAAGUAAGUUUUAACUGGGAACUAUAUUUUUGUUCAAAGAUCCUAAUCCUUGGAUCCUUUGAUCUGAGUUUAUCUGGUACAUACAUGUAUAAAAGCAAUUAUGUAUACAAUCUCAGUGUUUGGGCAAUAUCUUCCCACAUUUCCACUCUUUAUUGCACGUACAUUGCGCUAAGACAGUAGCGUGAUAUUAAUACGCAGCAGUCUCUCUGGACUCUGGAUUGGGGAUUGCCAAACGUUCUGUGGAUUUUCUGGUGUAGUCUGUUUUGUCGUAUGCUUUUGUGAUAUCAUUCUGGGGGAACGUUGUCUCACUUUUUAACUGCAUUGUAUUUGUGGUUUCUAAAUGACAAUAAACUGAAUCUGAAUAA